rnacentral:tRNA from 1 species
GGGGUGUAGCUCAAUUGGUAGAGCGCUUGCAUGGCAUGCAAGAGGUCAGGGGUUCGAUUCCCCUCAUCUCC